rnacentral:rRNA from 1 species
ACUCCUACGCGGAGGCAGCAGUGGGGAAUAUUGCNCAAUGGAGGAAACUCUGAUGCAGCAAUGUCGCGUGAGUGAAGUAAGGCCCUUGGGUCGUAAAGCUCUUUUAUGGGGGUAAGUAUGNAUGACGGUACCCCAAGAGNAAGCACCGGCUAACUAC